rnacentral:rRNA from 1 species
CGCUUACUCGGGGAUAGCCUUUCGAAAGAAAGAUUAAUACCCGAUAGCAUAAUGAUUCCGCAUGGUUUCAUUAUUAAAGGAUUCCGGUAAAGGAUGGGGAUGCGUUCCAUUAGGUUGUUGGUGAGGUAACGGCUCACCAAGCCUUCGAUGGAUAAGGGUUCUGAGAGGAAGGUCCCCCACAUUGGAACUGAGACACGGUCCAA